rnacentral:lncRNA from 1 species
CAAGCGAAGCCGCCAGGGAGGGAGGAUAUUGGAUAUACUACCUAACUAACUACCUACUAUGAGUAGUAGUAGUAGUAGUACUACUACUACUACUGUAUAUGGGUUACCCACUCGGAUGCCCACUCAAAUCCAUGGGAUAUCAUAUCUUAAAUGCCGAGGGUUGUCUGCCGAAAGAGGCAACAACGGAAAUCAUUUCAAACACGGCCACAAUCCCCGUCAUCUUUCCCCGGUCAACGGGCCAUUGAUAUAUUCCGAUCCACGCCAAGUUUGGAUACUAUCAUAGACAGAUUUUGAUAUCUCCUCGGAGCGUGACUAGGGAGACAUCACCACCGAAGACGCCAUCUAACGAUAGAUCUGUCUUGAUACACCUCUACAACAUCGCCAUGACUCACUCCUAUGGAGGUUCAAAGAGUCAUCGCAUCCACUUUAUUAACUUAACUAUGUAAUCUAUAUAUUAUGUAUACAUCUAAGUUAGUUAUCUAUAACUAUAUACGUAAUAUAUAAAAACUUUUAUCUGAUACAUCUCACUACACGGAGUAGAUUGUGCACCGAGCUAAUGUCCAUGGGGAUGCCACAUGGCACAAGCGAUCAGCCACUUUGCAAACUCAAAGUUGCUUUGAUAUCGCUUAGAGGAGAACGCACCCUUCUGCUCAGUGUAGACCGGCCCGGCCUUACUACGUAGAAGAUAAUCUAUGGUGUAUCUCCCCACUGAACUGACUCGGAU